GACGAACGCUGGCGGCGUGCCCAAUACAUGCAAGUUGAGCGCUGAAGGUUGGUACUUGUACCAACUGGAUGAGCAGCGAACGGGUGAGUAACGCGUGGGGAAUCUGCCUUUGAGCGGGGGACAACAUUUGGAAACGAAUGCUAAUACCGCAUAAAAACUUUAAACACAAGUUUUAAGUUUGAAAGAUGCAAUUGCAUCACUCAAAGAUGAUCCCGCGUUGUAUUAGCUAGUUGGUGAGGUAAAGGCUCACCAAGGCGAUGAUACAUAGCCGACCUGAGAGGGUGGUCGGCCACAUUGGGACUGAGACACGGCCCAAACUCCUACGGGAGGCAGCAGUAGGGAAUCUUCGGCAAUGGACGAAAGUCUGACCGAGCAACGCCGCGUGGGUGAAGAAGGUUUUCGGAUCGUAAAACUCUGUUGGUAGAGAAGAACGUUGGUGAGAGUGGAAAGCUCAUCAAGUGACGGUAACUACCCAGAAAGGGACGGCUAACUACGUG
rnacentral:rRNA from 1 species